rnacentral:lncRNA from 1 species
UUCCUCCUCCCCACAGCUCCAGGAACCCUGGGACACGGAACCUUCUGGAAAGGAGCCGGGGGGUCCCAGCGGGGGCUCCCCCCACCCUGAGCCCCCAAACCCCGGGGGGGACCUUGGGGAGGGUCCCCAAAAUCCCCCCGAAUCCGAGCCCCCCCCCAGCUCCUGAGGUGGCUUUGGUGUCACUGUCCCCUCCCUUGGGGACAAUUCCUCACCCCCACCUCAAAAAAAAGGGAAAUAAAGGUUUGGGAAUGCAAGAAAUCCUUGGAAUGAGCCCAAAUCCGGUUGGGAUUUAGGGCCCUGGUCCCGAGGGGGGUUUCUUAAUCGGGAAGUUAAUUGGGAUGGGACCCAAAAAUUCCAACCAGAUUUUAUUUCCUCCCCCAAAAUCCCGGAUUUUGCCAGCAGGAUCCGUCCCCACGCGGGGCUGGGGCAGGAAUUGGGGACGGAGCGGGGAAGGUUCCCCUUUCCAAAAGUUAAAAAUCCUUUAAAUACAGCCCCAAAACGGGCAAAUUUCCCUUUUUAUUCCCCGAAUGGCAGAGGAGAAUCCCAUUCCAGGGCUGUGGGGAGAAGGGACGAGAGGCGGGGCUGGAGGAUCACAGCUGCUUUAUUCCAGAAGAAUUCAUCCAGACCCGGAAAAAUCCCGUUCCCACCGGGAAAACCGGGAAGGUUUCGGCGUUUUGGGGAAUUUUUCCUUCCAGAAUUGGCUGAAUCAUGGAAUUCCCACGGGGUUGAGGAAGCCCGAGGGGGGGGUGGCAGCAGGGGUGGCAGCGAGAUGUCACCUGUCACCCACCCCCGUGGGGCGCUGCCUCAAUGGAGCUCCUUGUCCCGCUGAGAUCCCACCCCAUUCCCAAUCCCACUCGUGGGGACACAGAUCCUGCAUUGUCCCGGCCUUGGGGACACUCUGGGGACACUGGGGACACCCUGGGGACACCGGGGGGACAUGGGGGGACACCACGGGGACAAGGAGCUCACCCCAUUCCCAAUCCCACUCGUGGGGACACAGAUCCUGCAUUGUCCUGGCCUUGGGGACACGUGGGGACACUGGGGACACCAUGGGGACACCCUGGGGACACCCUGGGGACACCCUGGGGACACCUCCCCGAGCCCCGGGACACCCUGGGGACACUUCCCUGAGCACUGUGACACCGCGGGGACGGCGCGGGGACAGCGCGGGGACACCCUGGGGACACCCUGGGGACACUUCCCUGAGCCCCGGGACACCCUGGGGACAGCCUGGGGACACCUCCCCGAGCCCCGGGACAGCACGGGGACACCUCCGUGAGCUCCGUGACACCCUGGGGACACCCUGGGGACACCUCCCUGAGCCCUGGGACACCCCGGGGACAGCGCGGGGACACCCUGGGGACACUUCCUGAGCCCCGGUGACACCCUGGGGACACCCUGGGGACACUUCCUGAGCCCCGGUGACACCCUGGUGAC